AACGAACGCUGGCGGCAGGCUUAACACAUGCAAGUCGAGCGCCCCGCAAGGGGAGCGGCAGACGGGUGAGUAACGCGUGGGAACGUACCUUUUGGUUCGGAACAACUCCGGGAAACUGGAGCUAAUACCGGAUAAGCCCUAACGGGGAAAGAUUUAUCGCCGAAAGAUCGGCCCGCGUCUGAUUAGCUAGUUGGUGAGGUAACGGCUCACCAAGGCGACGACCAGUAGCUGGUCUGAGAGGAUGAUCAGCCACACUGGGACUGAGACACGGCCCAGACUCCUACGGGAGGCAGCAGUGGGGAAUAUUGGACAAUGGGCGCAAGCCUGAUCCAGCCAUGCCGCGUGAGUGAUGAAGGCCUUAGGGUUGUAAAGCUCUUUUGUCCGGGAAGAUAAUGACUGUACCGGAAGAAUAAGCCCCGGCUAACUUCGUG
rnacentral:rRNA from 1 species